AUCACCCUCCUCAUAUCUCCUUCUCCUGCUAUAACAAACAUCCAUCGACCACCCUGUCAUAACCGUUGACCACCGGCUGAGCACCCUACUACCGCCGCCGGAAAUCGCCUCACGGCGGCGGCCGGCAACCAAAAUGUCCCAAAUUAACAGCACUCAACCGUCAUGAACUCCUCUACUCCAUCCCAUAGCCAGUUUCCCUCGAAUAUAACCCCUCCAUCUCGAAUAUCCCCUGAAAGGUGGUCAGAAAUCCUACCUCCGUCGACCCCAUCACAAUGCCUUCCAUAUUUACACCACUAAGGCACCUCACCCUCCUCGUUCUAACCAUGCAUACUACCCCUCCCAAAUCAUCCUUAAAAUCCUCAAAUCUUAAUCCGAAGCUUAACCCUAAAUCCCAAAAUUCCCAAAAAUGGUUCAAACCUCUCUCGGGAAGUCCCCGAUCCCCAUUGACACUAACCAUGCCAUCCUUGAGUCUCAAACAACCCCCAACCACUCAAAAUUCCAAAUCUGAGACCUAUUGAGGUCUUAGAACUUUGAAAAAAUGUUCCCCUGAGCUUGUAAAUUGAUUGUAUACAGUCCGAGGAGGUUCAGAACCCAUGUGGAAGAAUCAAGGUCCGAUUGAAUUGUUUUAAAUGCGAACAAGAAUAAAAGCUAAGUUUUCCUGCCUAUUUUCCAUUUUUCUAUAGCUUUGAAUGUUGGAUUUCUUUUAAUGACUUAUUAGUAAUUGCAUGUUUAUUAAUUUGAGUUUCUUUUAUGUGAUUUUCUUUUGAUUGUUUGUCUUGAUUAUCCACAAGUUCUUCUGA
rnacentral:lncRNA from 1 species